rnacentral:lncRNA from 1 species
UUGUGUCUCAGUAAAGUGAAGCACGGACGGACAACAUGGUCCGUAGAGUUGAUUCGACAGUUAAUUCUCAGGGUUAAUUGAGUAUUUUCCUACUCUUUUAAUUUUUAUACUACAUUAUUUUUAGCCUAUUUUGAGGAACUAUAACCAUUUCUAAGACUCAUAUGUUGAACAAAAUAAAAUUGAGCAAGUAGCUAAGAGACUCUGCUGGAAAAAAGUUUGUUGAGAAGGAUGAUAUCGCAAUAUAUAU